UACGGAGGGUGCGAGCGUUGUCCGGAAUCACUGGGCGUAAAGGGCGCGUAGGCGGCGCGGGAAGUCCGUGGUGAAAGCCCGAGGCUCAACUUCGGGUCGGCCAUGGAUACUCCUGGGCUCGAGCACUGUAGAGGCAGGUGGAAUUCCGGGUGUAGCGGUGGAAUGCGUAGAGAUCCGGAAGAACACCGGUGGCGAAGGCGGCCUGCUGGGCAGUGACCGUAAGGUCUUAAAAGCUGACGCUGAGGCGCGGACAGCGUGGGGAGCAAACAGG
rnacentral:rRNA from 1 species